AGAGCUUUUUGACAGUCACCAGCUUUGCUGUGGAGUGGAAAAGAUAGUCCUGACCAAAAUCUCCAGUAACCAUAAGUGCUGUGGAAACCAACAGUACGACAACAGAAGCCAAUGCUGCUGCAAUUAUACUGUAGUAACCACAAGGACUCUGGAUGGAAAAUGCUGUGUAUCAAAUGACACAGUGGUGACAAAACCGGCCCUGAAAAAUAGACCUAACAACUGUCCUCCUGGGGAGAAGGCCUGUGGUGAAGCCUGUUAUGACCCAACAACAGAGCAGUGCUGUAAUACCUCUUUCCAGGGGCCAUAUCCCUCUGGCCAGAAAUGCUAUCAAGCAGGGGACCCCAAACUUCCCUUUCCCGAACCACA
ensembl:lncRNA